CCCUCCUUCCUUCGUCCAAGGCCAGGACUUCCCCUCCCUGACCCGAUCUGACGGAGAGAGGGCCAAGCCUUGCCACUCCGGUGGUCACUUUGGCCAAAUCCGGUCGGGGAAGCCACCGUAGAGACUGAACGUCGGCGCAGCAGCAGCAGUCCUUGCGACGGUGGGUGCCGGAGCUCGUCAAGCAACUCGCCGUCGGCGGCCAUGACCACCUCAUUCCCUGCCGUGCGUCUCCGUCAACUACUGUGGCAUUGACGACAGCGAGCUAGGAGCCUACGAGGUAGACGCCCUGCUGACUGUGUCGUCAAGGCCUCCACAUGGCUCCUCUUGCGGCAGACUGCUGGUUGUUUGUCAUGUCCUUGAUCACCCUAAUUUAAUCCAAGUCAGGUUUUUGGGAUGAAUUGAUGACAAGGAGAGCACGUUGGAAAUAGUGGAAGUGGAGACGGGAGAGGAUGAUCGGGAUCAAGUACAUCACAAUCAUCGGCAUCAUGUGGCUCUCACCAACGCAAUUCAGGUUUGAUAAUUGGUGAGAUAUACCAUGCCGUGGUUUAUACUCUUACUACUUGUUAUCAAUUCACUUGGCCGGGUGAAACCCCAUGCAAGAUUAUCACUUUCCCUUGUUCAAUAAUUUCUGGAUUGGUCACAGAAUCUUGUUUGGUUUGGUCUUUGGUUCUGUGAUUAGAUGAGGGUGGGUGCCAUGGUCGUCUAUGCUGGGCUUCUGCACGAUCACAUCUUCCACAUGUUCGGUGCUGGAGUGGCUGAUCUUGUGGAAGGGUUACGUUUUCCUCUUCUCAUGGAUUUUGACCAUUGUUUUAGAGGGAUUCGGAUAAUGGUUCUGUGAUUUAAAUUAUGAUGGCCUGCAUCAUGCCUCCCUAUAUUUAAGGCAAAUGAUAAUGGAAGUACACCUUCAUGAACAAGCUAGCCGAGGUCUUGGAAUUCCAACCUAGUACACCGGUUCAUGAGAAGAAUGCUGAGAAGAUUCAGCUUGCUGUGCUAAAUGUCAUUCUGGCUUGACUCGAUAAUAUCGUGGUAACAUGGUGGAAUAUUUUAUUUUUUAUUGUAACAAACUGUAGUCAAAUUCAUCAGAUAUAUAUACUUCCAGGAUCGGAGGAACAAGUAGUUUUAGCCUUCUGUUUUCGAAUUCUUAGUUUAACAUCUCUGUACUUGUUGAAGCUGUUAUCUCCAACUCUACAUGAGCAUAGUGAUAUGCAGUAUAGAACAUCUCCAUUUUUUUCUUCUUUGGUGAGCAUGGAAUAUCCAAAUUGACCUCUAGAGAUAGAUAAGUUGGUAGGGUAACGUUCACUAGCUUUUUUUAGGAUCAAAAUUGAUGUAUUAAUUUUCUUAUCAAAGGAUGAUUAACGGAAUCGUGGUAUUGCGGCCAAAAUAUACUCUCUUCAGUUUGUUGGUAAUGAGCAAAAUGUAGUCCUACUGGUAAUGGGCUUUGGAUUUGUGCGUGAAAUACAUUGUUGCAUGCAUGUUUCCUAAGUGAAAAAUGUAAUGGUUCUGAAUAUAGCUGGAGAUGAAUUAUUUGCAGCAUCCAAACAACAACAGUGGCAUGGAUACAGUUAACAGUACUAGCAAUUGAUGAUAUUGUCAUAGCAAUUUUAAUUUGGAAAAAAAAUGUGCGAGAUUAGUCUUUUCUUUUCUUUCAUGCAAUGAAGAGAGUACAAAGUAUACUACAAUUUUUUGUAACCCACACAAUGAUUCAAGAAGCAGGGCCAAACAGGACCAAUGAAGACGCGUACAGUACUGUUCUUCAUGAUAUGAUGUUAAUUUUUCCCCACAAAUGAAUUUAAUAUUUAAUUCUUUGUGAGACAACUACUAAAAUGAAGUAGUUUAUAGGUUUGAAAAUUCCAUGUAUUGUGCAUAUUUUUAUGUGCGUACUUGACUCAGAUGCAAGCUAUUCGCAGUACGUAUAUUCUGAAAGAAAACAUGACGUAGCUGCUGAAUGCUCUCUGAAACGUAGCAUAUUUUUUAAAAUACUCUAUUUGCUUUGAAUGAGGUUGCCUUUUGCUUUAAACAAUUAACUGCAUUCUGAAAUACUUUUAAAUUUGGCUAAGAUUAAGAGAUCUAGCAAAUGAGUCCAAGUCUCAAAACCAGGUGCAUCUUGAGUAUUUCUUCUCCACGGCGGGUGGUCCAUCUCCAUCGUGGAGUGUUGCUAGAUCAACAACAUCUGGUCUAUUUGAAUGGCACAUUACUGUUCCGAGUCUCCAAGAACCAGCUACAGUACCUAUACAGUAAGAAUCGAACUGCAAAGGAGCUGAUCCCUCUGUUGUUUCAUGACUCCCUUAUGCCCUUGCGAGGAGCGGCCACCAUUGGGCAGGGACAGAGCCGUUGAGCGCCCUUGCUCGGUGGUCCACCACCCUUCUCGCCUCCCGUUCGACGCCUCUUCUCCACACCCCUUCGUUCGAUGUGCUUCGACUCAUGAUGUACCAGAGUGGAGUCAGUAUAGAUAUCAGAGGUGCACAUGGGGUCCUCUUUAGUUUUUUUCCUUAAUUGUUAACCAUCUCCAAUUUUAUGUCAACUCUACUUAUUCCAGUUUCAUAGUUGGAGGUAUCAA